AAAGUCGUAACAAGGUUUCCGUAGGUGAACCUGCGGAAGGAUCAUCACCAAUUCUCUUAGGAUCUUGCAGAUUCUAUACAAAACCCAACGCGGUUAUCAUAUUUGUGAAAGUGAGCAAAAGCUGGACUUUUUUUGUUGGCUGGUGGUUUCAAAGGGGGAAGAUAUUCGUUUCUCUCCUACAAACUGUCUAGUUGCAAAGCAGCCAGCCUGCUCAUAUUUAUCUAAACUAAACCCCACCAAAAAACAAACUCAAGCCACAUCUAUUAUUAGUAAAGAAUUUAAUUUAACAAAUACAACUUUCAACAAUGGAUCUCUUGGCUCUU
rnacentral:misc_RNA from 1 species